rnacentral:rRNA from 1 species
AGUGAACGCUGGCGGCAUGCCUAAUACAUGCAAGUCGAACGGCAGCACAGUAAGAGCUCGCCCCUACGGGUAGCGAGUGGCGGACGGGUGAGACAUACAUAGCCUACCUAUAAUUCUUGGAGAAUUUCGGAGGACAAGAUACGCUAAUAGCGCAUACGACCUACGGCAGAAAGCAGCAGAGCAAGGCACUUUGGCUGUCACAUAUAGAUGGAUCCGCGCCGCAUUAGCUAGUUGGUAAGGUAACGGCUCACCAAGGAAACGAUGCGUAGCCGAUCUGAGAGGGUGAUCAGCCACACUGGAACUGAGACACGGUCCAGACUCCUACGGGAGGCAGCAGUAGGGAAUAUUCGGCAAUGGGCGAAAGCCUGAUCGAGCCACGCCGCGUGAGUGAAGAAGGUCUUCGGAUUGUAAAACCCUGUUAUUAGGGAAGAAAAGCUGCGUAAUAAAACCCCCCUGUUCUGACGGUACCCAAAGAGAAAGCACCGGCUAACUUCGUG